GUCCACGCCGUAAACGAUGGGCACUAGAUGCCGGUCCUAUAGACGGGUUCGGUGUCGCAGCUAACGCAUUAAGUGCCCCGCCUGGGGAGUACGGCCGCAAGGCUGAAACUCAAAGGAAUUGACGGGGGCCCGCACAAGCGGUGGAGCAUGUGGUUUAAUUCGAAGCAACGCGAAGAACCUUACCUAGGCUUGACAUACUGGUGAAACCCCGUGGAAACACGGGGCCUCCUUCGGGACACCAGUACAGGUGCUGCAUGGCUGUCGU
rnacentral:rRNA from 1 species